rnacentral:rRNA from 1 species
UACAGAGGUCCCGAGCGUUGUUCGGAUUCGCUGGGCGUAAAGGGUGCGUAGGUGGUGAAGUAAGUCGGAUGUGAAAGCUCCGGGCUCAACCCGGAAAUGGCAUUGGAAACUACUUUGCUUGAGGGUUGGAGGGGGGACUGGAAUUCUCGGUGUAGCAGUGAAAUGCGUAGAUAUCGAGAGGAACACCAGUGGCGAAGGCGAGUCCCUGGACAACACCUGACACUGAGGCACGAAAGCCGGGGGAGCAAACAGG